GAUGAACACUGGCGGCGUGCUUAACACAUGCAAGUCGAGCGAAGCACUUAAGUUUGAUUCUUCGGAUGAAGACUUUUGUGACUGAGCGGCGACGGGUGAGUAACGCGUGGUAACGUGCUCAUACAGGGGGAUAACAGUUAGAAAUGGCUGCUAAUACCGCAUAAGACCACAGUACUGCAUGGUACAGUGGUAAAAACUCCGGUGGUAUGAGAUGGACCCGCGUCUGAUUAGGUAGUUGGUGAGGUAACGGCCCACCAAGCCGACGAUCAGUAGCCGACCUGAGAGGGUUGACCGGCCACAUUGGGACUGAGACACGGCCCAG
rnacentral:rRNA from 1 species